AGCCUGGGCAGGCCUGGAAUGUGAAGGAGGAGCUGAAACAUGAGACUCUGAGCUCAGACCGGAAAGAACAAGCUGCUCAUUUUUGUCCCUGUUGUGGAAGAGCUGUUACAUACCACAGUGCCUGCUGGGCUUCUGAGCACUUGUUAACACCUCAGGUGCUUAAGAAGCUCUCUAUCAUGAAAACGAUUCUACCUAGCAGUCAUGAUGCAACAGGUUUGGAAGGAAGGAAUAACAGGAGAGAUGAAACAGAAAAGUAAUAGGCUACUGGCAUGUAAACUAAAAUCAAAACUAAACUAAUGAAGCGCCCAAG
rnacentral:lncRNA from 1 species